rnacentral:lncRNA from 1 species
AAAUUUAAAGAUAAUCAACUAGGAUAAUAUGAAAUUAACAAAAUAUACAAUAUAAUUCAAUUUAUAAACUAAAACAAUUUUUUAAAAAAAAUGAAUAAUGAAUAAGUCAUAAAAAAAUAAAAAACAAACACACAAACAGACUCAAUUGAAACAAAAACAAAAGCAACAGAAUAAUCUACAAACAAAUAAAUUAUUAGAAUAGAAAUCCAGUGCCAAAAUAGAAUGCGCAUAAACGGGAGAGGAUUAAAAACGAAAUUAUUCCAAGCUUCUAAACGCAAAGUUUCAACGCGGACUAAAGUGAAAUGUUGCACCAAUUUUAGGGAAAAAUUAAAAAAACAAAAGAAAAAGAGAAAGGCCCCAAUCAAAUGAUGGCGCAAAAAGGAAGGACUAAAUGCACAAAUUCCCCUCUUUGGAACAAAAACACGCGGAUCCGACUAUGGGUUGGGUUGAUGCGUGGGUUCUUCCAUCUCUUAAACGGUGCCGUUUUAUUCAUAUAUAAAAACUAAAAUUAGCCCUAAAAAACUCAUUUAACUGAUUAUCUUCUCAAAAAAAAAACCUUAAAGCCUUUUUUGUUUAACCCUCUUAACUUUCCCCUCUUGGUCGGCUUGUGGCUUCAUCGGCACUUAAUGAACCUCCAUCUCCGCCGUGGCUCGAAUCCUUAGAGAUCUGUUUACCUUUGGACCGGAGGACCAAACGUCGAUUAGGUUGACAUCGAAUGAACGGUAAGAAAACCUUCCUUUUUUUUUGUAUAUUAGUAUGAUAGAUUCAAAACAAAGCAAGAAAUAAAAGAGAAAAAUCUGAACAAAGAAUCAAUGAAUGAACCACCUUGAAGUGUAUUUGAUUUCUGUAUUUUAUUGCUAUCUCUCUUUUUUCGUUUUUCUUCCUUUCUUUACAGAAACGUAUUCGGCUUUUUAUAGCCGAACCAAAAAUAAAAUACAAAAUACCAGCCUUUUUUCUUUUUUUUUUUUUCUUUUUCAUUUUCUUAUUGUACAUUGCUGUAUAUUACUGUUAUUGUUGUUGUUUUUAUCGUUUUUUGCAGGUACAAAGGCCGUGUAGAUGUACAGAGGGGAGCGGCGUAUGUGGAGGUCUCGGCGGCGGCAAUUAGCCCUAGGGUUUUCUAUUUUGCCAAAAAUUGGCCCAAUUUCAGGCCAUGGGAUAGGGCUUAAGCUUUUUAGGUUGGUUGUAAUGGGCUGUGAAUGGGUAUAGUUGGAUAUGGUUAUUGGGUUUUUCAUGUAGGCCUAUUGCUUUGUAAAAGGAAGUUUGGACAUUUAAUUUAUUUUUAAUUUCUGAUUUUUGGUUUUUGGUAUGGGCCCGGGCUAAAUUGGCCCAUUACACUACUAAUCCGACAUUUUCCUUUUUUUCUCGUUCUAGCUCCGAAUUUGGUCUAUCCGGAUCUAUACGAGUAAAUUUAACAUUAAUUUAUCACAUUUCAUAUUUAAGUGGACUCAAUUUACAUCCUAAGAAAAAUUAUCAUUUUGCCCUUAACUUUUCCAUAAAUUCCAAUUUCGUCCUUAGGCUCGGAAAAUGAAAUUUAUGCUAUUUACUCCCUAU